GCGUGCCUGUAAAGAAACCAUUUAGAUGAGGAAAGGGAGGAGAUAAGGAUCCUGAAAAGAAAGGACUGUGCCAAAAAGAAGGGUUUCCAAGCAGCAGAAGAGGUCCUGGAAAGAAAACCGGAGUCUCAAAAAGGAAGCAGUGAAGAUCCUGGCUGUUAGGAAGAUCCUGGUGAGAAGGAGAUGGGUGGAGACCAGUGCCAGCAGACCUUGCCCCAGGACUGGUACCUGGAGCAGCUGCCCACUGCCAGCUGACACAGCUCCCUGCUGGAUUUCCCCAGGCCAGCAGCAACCUCCCUGCUGGGAAGGAUGAUUACUUCAGAUCAAGAAUAGAGAGAGAAAAAAUGAACUAAAAUUGCACCAUCUGCUGGAGAAAAUGAAACACCUAAAAUAUUGUAGGAAGUGAAAAAGUCAAUUGAAUCGUCUGCCUUUUAAAACAGAAGAUCCAAACCAAGUUUAAGCUGCAAAGAUGGAUGGUUUACCUAAGUAAUUCAAACAACCAUUUCGCAAAUUCUCACUCAAUCAAAAGUUGUUACUCAGGAAGAACUUGGAAAGAAGAUCUGAGAGGCUGGGCAGGACAGGAAUGAGAUAUGAUUACAGGGACAGUGCAUCUUAGCUUCUUUAGGUCUGAUGCGAUCAGUACAUAUGUUGGCAGCACACUGUCAUAGUCCCAUGUUUGAGAAAGAGCACUGUGGAAGUGCUUUCGUUGCACAAAUGAUUUCUUCUCUAACAGGACUCUGUUGGUUUCAGAAUAAUCUCAGACAGAAGAAAUCCCAUUUACCUAUG